CGCCCCUCGCCCCCUCCCCCCGCGGAGGGUGACGGGCGCUUCCCCGCCCGGAGCCGCCGCCGCUUCAGCCUCUGCCGCCGUCGCGGCCCCGCUGCCGCCUGGCCCGGCCCGGCCCCGGGCCGCCCCCGCCGGCCCCCUCCCGUCUGCCUCGCUGGCCGGCUCCCUUCGCGUCGUCCCGGCUCCUCUGGCUCAUCGGACGCCCCGGCCCGGCCAUGGCGGACUUCGAUGAGAUCUACGAGGAGGAGGAGGACGAGGAACGGGCGCUGGAGGAGCAGCUCCUGAAGUACUCCCCCGACCCGGUGGUGGUGCGCGGCUCCGGCCAUGUCACCGUGUUCGGACUAAGCAACAAAUUUGAAGCAGAAUUUCCUUCAUCUUUAACUGGAAAGGUUGCACCUGAAGAAUUCAAAGCCAGCAUCAGUAGGGUUAACAGUUGUCUUAAGAAGAAUCUUCCAGUUAAUGUGCGAUGGCUACUAUGUGGAUGCCUUUGCUGCUGCUGCACUUUAGGUUGUAGUAUGUGGCCAGUUAUCUGCCUCAGUAAAAGAACACGAAGAUCGAUUGAGAAGUUAUUAGAAUGGGAAAACAAUAGGUUAUACCACAAGCUGUGCUUGCAUUGGAGACUAAGCAAAAGGAAAUGUGAAACGAAUAACAUGAUGGAAUAUAUCUUGCCUGAAAUACAAGGUCUUCAAAAAGGAUGUUUUACAUCAUGGCUCUAUUCAGUUCACUGAAUAAGUACUUUUUGUAAAAUUUAUUCUACUGAAUAUUUUAGGUUAGAUAUAUGGGUGUGACUAAAAAAUGGAAUAAAUCCAAUUUCAGAGAGUAGACUUAAGCUUUGCCUAAAUGAAGCUUUUAUAUUUUGCUGAAAACUUUAUUUUUCUACAGGAGAUAUUGUCAAACCCAAAGUUCUGCAUAUUUAAUUGGAAAAAAUAUAAUUUGAGUUUGUAAAUACUAUGGCCCAGCGACAUUUACAGAUGAAAAUUCAUUCUAUUAAAUAUAAUUUCAAAUCAGUUGACCUGUUUACUAUAAUAAUAUAUGCAUGGGCAUAUAGUUUUGCAGGAUAAAGGUCAAAGAUUUUAUUUUCAAUUUGUGAAACGUCUGGUAUUAUCUUUGGGUAUACUUAAUGAGAAAAUUUUUACAAAACCUCACUGUAACAUGCUCACUUUCAGUGAACUGAUUUGCUAAUGUGUUUCAAAACUGCCCCUAAUAUGAUUGUGAUUUAAUUUUAAAUAAUAAACACCUAUCCUCAACGUUUCACAAAGCAGAUGAUUUAAAUUAGACUCUUGUAUCCAAAACUUGGUGUCUCACCAAAAUGAGGUUUGAAAUUUACUGUAGUAGAUGUUAACUUAAAUAAAUAAUUAAUUAAAUUAGAAAGACAAGAUAAUCAUACACCUUUGGAGUAAACACACUGCUCCAGCUUUACUUCUUGCUCACUUUCUGAAAACUUGCCUGAAUAUCAGAAGCCCUGAUAUCUACAGAAUCCAGUGGUUGACUCAGGUCAUCCUUAUAGAAUUUUUACCAAAGACACCGAUUUUUCGACCAGAUUAACAUUUGAUUUAUUUAUAGAGACUUAUUCAAGUAUGUUGUCUUUCCAAUGGUGCCUUGCUUGGUGCUCUCCUGGCAGUGAUAUAACAUUGGUUCUACAGAAUCUUGUGGUGUUUUCAUUUGUUUUCUGUUUGUUUGUUUUGGUUUUUUUGUGUUUGCUUGUUUGUUUUGGUUUAUUUUUGGUUGGUUAGUUGUUUUUUGUGGGUUUUUUAAAUAACAGUAUGUUCUACUAAGAGUAUGGUCAAACUCUGCAAAGUAAUUUCACACAUGUUAUUUACUACUUAAGUUAUUUUUACUUUUGCUACUUCUGUUUAUUAAUGUAUCUUGAUUUUCAAAAGUCUUUUAUAUGUGUGCGCGCGUGUGUACAUACAUAUAUUACUAUAAAUACACAGCUGAAAAUUAUAUACAAGUGAACAGGUAUUUUUUUAUCCCAAUAUGACACAACUGAUUGAGUGUACAUUGUGUAAAUCCCUUUAGUCAUUCAUUUACAUGCUGAAGUUCCUUCUGAGAUAUUCGGAAGCUUCUGUCAGUGACUAGUCAAUUGUAAAUACUUUUAUUUCUUUUUGGGACAUUGACUAGUCCCUUCCAGCAAAAGAAGGAGGCAGAUUUCUCUUUGAAAUGGUGAUUUUUGGAACCCAGAUGUUGUUAGUAGAAAUCUCUGUGAUCUUCAUGAAGAAACCUGUCAAUUGGUUCUGAAAAGGUUUGGCUUUAAAAAAGUAAAAAAAAAAAGGCAGCCAAGUGGAAUUAUUUUACUCAGACUAGAAGCAUCACUGAGAGCAUUGCAUGCAUCUGGUUAGUAGAACUCAAGAUCACAAAAGUAUAUUAUUGUUGCAUUUUAUAAUGUAGCUGUUUUAAUUCAGUCAAUUGCCAUGUGCCAGCUUUAUUCAUACAGUUUACCAGAUCCUGUAUACAGGGGUGCAGAAGGACUUGUUUUAGUAAAACUUAAUUGCCCAAGAAGAUCUUUCAUGAGUUUCUUUGUUUAUUUUAAAGCCACAUAAGCAGAAUAAAGUUAUUGAAGAAUUAUUGAACAGUGCAGUUCCAGAUGCGAAUGCCAUGUAUUAAAAGUAAUCAAAGCAGGGUGCACUGGGCAACAGUGUAACUUUAAACGUGUUAGGCAAUUAUUUAUUGCACCCUUUCUUUUGCUCAUUUUGGUUUACAAAGGUUAUUUUCUGCACAAGUAUAAGACUUUUUUAACUGGAUAUAUGAUGUAUGCUUGGGUCAGGCCAGUUGUAUUUCAUUUCUUCUGAUUAUACUUUAGUUGUACAUAUCUUCACACAUAGCUUUUGGGUUUUUUUUAAUUGCAACUUUCAUAUUGUAAAAUUUGCUUUAGUUAUCUAAAAUUACAGUAUGCAAAACUGAUGUAAGUUAAGAACAUGUUCCUUGUACAGUUGUGUUAGCAAGCAAUAAUGUGAAUAUAUGAAAAAAACCAGAUAUACUCUGCUUAAUAUUUGUAUGAAUGAGAAGUUGAUACCACUACAAGAGUAGUCUUCUCUUUUUAAUCUUUUAAAUACAAGUUUUAUUUCAAGGUCAUGUAUUACAGGUACCUUGAUGCUGUGAACUAUUUUUCUAUGUCUUCAAAAUAUUUAUUCUCUGUAAAAUAUUCCUUAGUGAGUAUUAUAUUCCUAAAUUGUUCACAGUGGGAGUGGUCUAGAAAGUUUUAAGUUUUCUUAAAUCUAAGUCUUCUGUAUCUGUUCCCAAAACUCAUCCUUUGCUCAGCUUUCAUCUGUGGAUUCCUACUGUUCACUUCGAAAAUAGCUCAGCUAUGCAUUUCAUACAAGCCAACAAGGGUGUUUGUUUGACAGAAUAUGAUUUUUAAUUAACAAAUCCCAGUUUUGUGCUGGCCUCAGUCUUUGAGUGCCACCCGUGGUUUCUCUAUAAAGUAACUGUUUCUGAUUUUCUAAAAAUCAAUUUCAGCCUCUUCUUCAGUACAAAUCUGGGUCUGCUGCUGCACCCCUCUCACCCAGAAGUAUUAAUUAUAACCUCGGACUAGUUUCAGCCUGUGGGAGGACAGAAACCUAACGUUGAUGGCAGCAGAGACUGGGGAGGUUGGAGGUGCAGAGAGGUUGGAAUUGAACAGAAGUAAUAGCUGGUGAUAAAUACUUAUGGCUAGAAAUAUAUAUUCAUUUCUUUAAGUGUCGAUUUUCAAUAAAAUUAAUAUUGGAUCAUAUGAGGCCUAGGUUUUACAAAAAUUUUCAUUUGACUACAAUUUGUGUCAUAGAUGCUGUUUUCCACUGAUGUCGAAAUCCCUCCACUCCAGUGGAGGAUAUGGCUUGUGAUAUGUUCAUAGCAGCUAUUUGCCUCCGUUUACUACUCAGACUUCCCAUAGUAUGUUCUCUUCAUGUCCACAGCUACCUUGCCAGCAGCACCCAAACCCAGUGACAGUAAAACUGCUUUGGGUGAGAUGUGUGCUGAGAGCAGGGCAGUGAAUAGAGUGUGGCUUACAGGUUUACAGAGUAUCCAAUUAGUAAAGCUUCCACAUGAAUGGUGGUGAUGCUUAAGAUCUUGUCUACUUCUAGGUGCAUCAACAGUCAUAGGCUUGGUUAGCAGGCAUUUCUGUAUUUUAGCUGUGACUUUCUCUUUAAGAAAUAAUACAGAGAUCCAAAGUAGAACUCAGAGCAAUCAAAAAGUUAAAUCCCUUUGUAAGGAGGCCAGACUUACUCCCUCAAAAGCUGUUUUGGAUAUUUUAUUAAAACAAUGUCUCUGACUUAAAAUAUAGUCAGGAAACUUGAGAAACUGCCUAUAUAGAGAGAUGAGUUUUAUUUCAGAAGUGGUACUUGCGUGAAGAAGUAGUACAUUCACCUAGUAAGAAUGUUACAAAACAUUUUCAUACAAUCCCUUUAAAUUCAUUAAUUACAAUGAUGGAAAUUGAAGAUGGCAGGAUCUUUAAUCAACUGUUCAAUGCCUGCAGCAGUUGUCAGGAUUUUCUUUUGAUGUUGCUUCUGAAAUACUAAAUCUAUUUAUUUUGAUUGCUAGUGAGAAGACAUAUAUUACCUAUUUUGUCACUUGGCAAAGAAUGAAAUUACACAGUCUGAGCAGACCAGAAGCUAUAGUAGACUUCCAGGACACAGCCUACUCUUUGCUGAAAUAACUAUUACGUUAUACUAACUCGUUUAGCUUCUUGCAACUCGGCAGUUUCUACAAAUAACCUUAUCUUUUUCAAAUUUCCUUGAACAGUAAAGUUAGGUAUCAAGUUGAUAUUAAUCAUUUAGCAAAUUAUGCUAAUUAUGCCUCUUUCAUCUUCAGCCUGCUAAACUAAUGGUGAAGACAUCAAUGAAUCCCUCUGAGAGCUAAUUAUUAUUUUUAGAUAUAGUCACCUUUAACUGGUGAAUAAAGAUUUCUUUCUUACUGUAAUAUAGUAGAAACAAGUUAUUUUAAAUUUUUUAAUCAUAGAUGGAAAUAAAUACUGAGGGAGAAGGACUUCCUCUCUGACCCUACAUAAAGAAUUCCGAAGAGCUCAUCUGUUGUUAAAUAGCUUGGACUUGAAGUUUAUAUUGGGAUUGACAAACUUCACCAGAAAUUAAAAUGUUUACAGAGAUAGGUUACAGGAAGUUGGUAAAUUUUUGUAAUAGGUUAGUAACAGUAAUUUUAAUAAACUAUUUAUGCAAAUUCAAAAUUUCCCACAAUAGUUAAACCCAAGUAGAAUAGUUUAUAAAAACUCUUACAGUACUUAGGUGUAAAUUAUAAUCUUUAAAUCAAUUUGUUAAAUUAUGUGGUUUUGUAAUUCUCAAGACCAUGAUGUUUAAAUGUAAUACGCUGUCUCUCAGAUACAGGCUUAUUAAAAGUCAGUUUUAAUAUUAUUUUUUUUCUAAAAGUCAUUAUUUAGCCCCAAAGAUUGUAGGGAGAGCUUUAAAAUGCAACGUGUAACUGCUCAGAAGCCAGGAGCCAAGGAAAAAGAACUUGUCUUUAUUCCCUUCCCUCCACCCCCCACCCCAAAGUCUUAAUUUUAAAUUGGUCCCCUUGUUUUGGAGCCCUAGUUUAUGGGUUUUGAGCAGCUGGCAAUAAUGCAAAUUGUCCACCAAAAACCCCAUUUGAAUUCUGAACAGUUUAAAGAGAUCACUUUAAUUGAAGAGGUGAAAGACUUGUUAAGCAAAGAAAAUCCAUGGUUCUUUUAAGAUCUCCCAGCACUGCUGUUGAGUAAUUAAAAGAAGAAUCAUGAUGACCCUACAUUAGGUCAAAAUCCAGAUGAUUUUAUGUAAAGGAAACACUCAAUUAGAGAGGUCUCAAAGCCUCAAAUAUCUUGGGUUUUUAUUAGUGACUUAGUAAGGGUAAGUGGUGCUGGCUAGUUUUGUAUCUUUGACUAAAAUAAUUUAUGUUACUCUUCAGCAACCUUGCCUAUGAAAAGAAAGCAUUUCAGAAAUCUGUAUUCAUCACUGCUAAUUUGCUCUAAUUUCUGUGCUUCUCCCUAUAGCCACGUUGCAUUUCCAUGACAAACAGCUAAGUGUAUGAUCAUUAUAAUGCCUUUAAUAGCCAUAUUGUAGGUAGAAAUAUUAACUUCUCAGGGACUAAUAGGAAAUAUGAACAUGGAAUUAAUGAGCUGAAUGCCUGUCUGCAUGAAGGCUUACUUUGCAAAUGUCACCCUAGAAACUUGAUUGUAAUAUGCAUGACCAUUAUGAAUGUUAUCAAUAUAAAGUUAUGAGAACUUCUUUUACCCUGUAUUACUAGGCUGCUGAAUGUCAAAGUAUGUUGGAUAGGGAUAAAUGAAGGGGGAUUUUUUUCUGAUUUGGAUGGAGUUAUUAUUUCUAAUGGUGCUACCUUCUUAAUUCCUAUGUUUAUUCUUUGUAAAGUUCUCUCUGUAGGCUGGGUGAAUCAGGGGAUAUUGGUGUACUAAGAAAACAGUAUCAUUCUUCUUAAGGAAGUAGAAUAAUUUCAAGGAGAGAAGUAUUCUAAAGUGAAAAAAUUUCACUACUGAAAAAAAUGCAUUUAUUCUUCACUAGAUAUCCAUUUGUAUUGUUUUGUUGGUAACAGGACUUUGCAGUUCAUUCAUUUUUGUGCUUUCAUCUUUCUGCACAUUGAGAUUUCAGUCAGUGUAGGCUGAAUUAGGAACCAUGUUUGAAAAAUUAAAACCUCCUAUUCCUUGUAUGAAACUUCAUAUGUUGGCGCUUGUGCUGGUGUAUGUAUGUAUCCCUAUCACAUAGCACCUGGGUAAUACACAUCUUUUAUAAAACUACUUUUUAUUGGUUUCAUGGAAGUUGUUUUUAAAAAAAAAAGUCUUCUGGUUUGUUUAGCUCAUUAAUAUUUCAUUAAGAUUUAUUUUCUUGAAAAAGGAUUAAUAGAUGCUUGGCUCUUCAAAAUACAACAGACCAGUAAGAACAAUUUAGUGAGGCAAAAGAUGAAACAUAGGAAUUAGGAGAAGCAACACUUCAAAGAUUGGAUUUGGGGAUUAGGUUUAGAGUUCUGUGAGUAUCACAGAAAACAGUUUUGAAAUUAAUAAAAUGGUAUUGAAUGAUGCAAUAAGCAAAAGCUAGCAGUCCAUUUCAGUAAUUUUGUAGACUGUGUGUUAACUUUUGUUCACUUUUUUUUAUUUUGGUGUGUUAUUAAUUUAUUUUGGUUAUGCUCUAGUUGAUAGACAGUUCUGCUAUCAUGCAGAAUAAUAAUGCAGAAGGUAAGCUUCCUCCUAAACUCAGCAUCUCUUCGUUUAAAAUAGCCAGACCAAAAUGGAAUUGCUGAUGAGAGCUGCGCUGAGUGCGGAACAGUCUUUUCCUAGGCUGGAGCCUGUAAUGCAUGUCUAAUUGUUUCCAAAGAAAAUUCUUGACCUGUCCAGACAGCUCCUGUCAUGUGACAGUAUAUCUAAGGCCCACAAGUAGGAUCCAGUUAGUACAAUUUAAGUUCAGGUAAGUAAGACUUUUGUAGUUAAUUUAGUUUUUACAGAGAAGGGAACCAUUGACAAAUGCUCAAUUUCUGAAAACAUUUAUAAGAUUUUUAUAAUGUUUAUUGAAACAUGUUUUUUUGUUGUUGUUUGCUCCUCAUUUAUAACUUAAUAAUUGAAAGUUAUUUUGCUUUGUAUUGAAACUAGACUUAGUAGUCAGCUGAAGACUUUUUUUUGUUACAGUAUUUUAGGUUUAUGAAUACAUUUUUUAAAGUCAUGUUUAGAAAUGUUUCCAAAAGUCAUAUCCUGAUGCAAUGUAACUGAUAUUUUUAGUGGCUGUAUGUUUAACAUGGUUUCAUUGUGCUGAUAUAAGCAUCUAGCUCAUCCACUCCAAGUGUUUAUCUCUGAUCCUUUUAUGCUAGCAAUAGGCUUUCUAACUUGUUAGGAUAUGCAGUGUACCUUCUGGUUAAUAUUGUCAGUGAACAGUUUGGCUCAGUGAGAUAACAGGGAGUACAAAGUAGUUCCUCAUUUGAAAAGUGUAACCAGAUUCUUGUUUUGAUAAAGGAUGGAGUAUGGCAAUCAGAAUAUGAAUUCAUUCUGAACAUAAAUUUGCAAGAGAAUAGUAAACUACAGAACAGUGCCUAAAUGUUAUGUGCUAAAUUGGACCUGUGUAACUCAUGUUGCUUAAAAAAACAAUUAUAGAGAAUUGUAUCGACUGUGUGUGCUUAGGAAAGAUCUGUUAAAUAUAUGAAGCAGUAAUGGUAAAUAAGUCACUGAAAAGAUAUUGCCAUCAAAAGGGAAAACUUAAAACCCAGUACUUUAGAGUAUGUUAAAAAUCCAUUUCAAGCAGAAAACAUGUAAGCAAUAAUUUAACCUAAAACUGGAAAUUAAAGAAGCUGCUACUUACAGAGAGACUUGAUGUUAAUUUUGCCUGUUGGGCAUCUCUCCUCCCACGAAGAAUUUAGAAAGAUAGGGUUGCUGUCAUUUCCCCUAUUAUAACAUUCCUCUUCAAGUAUCCUAAGUCCGGGUGAGAGACUCCAAGCUUAGAAGCCAGUACUGUGUUUACAGGGUGCACAGCUUUGGGAGGAGAAGAUAGGAAUAAAAGGACUUCUUUAAGGCUGCACAAUUGUAUAUAUGCAUAUUUAAGAAUAUUUAACCGUGUCUGCUAAAUUACUGAGGCUAAUCUAUUGUUGAAUUAUAGAAUAUUAUUUAAUACAUCAACAUUGUUUUUUCCUGACCUGACCCAGAAUUGGAAUGGACUCCAAUAAAACUUUUUUUAAAGCAUUUCUUAAGUUGUAUGUAUUAUAAACUAAUAAAAUAAUUGUUAACCUA